rnacentral:rRNA from 1 species
UGAGGAAUAUUGGUCAAUGGACGAGAGUCUGAACCAGCCAAGUAGCGUGAAGGAUGACUGCCCUAUGGGUUGUAAACUUCUUUUAUACGGGAAUAAGGUUAGCCACGUGUGGCUUUUUGUAUGUACCGUAUGAAUAAGGAUCGGCUAACUCCGUGCCAGCAGCCGCGGUAAUACGGAGGAUCCGAGCGUUAUCCGGAUUUAUUGGGUUUAAAGGGAGCGUAGGCGGGUUGUUAAGUCAGUUGUGAAAGUUUGCGGCUCAACCGUAAAAUUGCAGUUGAUACUGGCGACCUUGAGUGCAACAGAGGUAGGCGGAAUUCGUGGUGUAGCGGUGAAAUGCUUAGAUAUCACGAAGAACUCCGAUUGCGAAGGCAGCUUACUGGAUUGUAACUGACGCUGAUGCUCGAAAGUGUGGGUAUCAAACAGGAUUAGAUACCCUGGUAGUCCACACAGUAAACGAUGAAUACUCGCUGUUGGCGAUAUACGGUCAGCGGCCAAGCGAAAGCAUUAAGUAUUCCACCUGGGGAGUACGCCGGCAACGGUGAAACUCAAAGGAAUUGACGGGGGCCCGCACAAGCGGAGGAACAUGUGGUUUAAUUCGAUGAUACGCGAGGAACCUUACCCGGGCUUAAAUUGCAACUGACUGAACCGGAAACGGUUCUUUCUUCGGACAGUUGUGAAGGUGCUGCAUGGUUGUUGUCAGCUCGUGCCGUGAGGUGUCGGCUUAAGUGCCAUAACGAGCGCAACCCUUAUCGAUAGUUACUAGCAGGUCAUGCUGAGGACUCUAUUGAGACUGCCGUCGUAAGAUGUGAGGAAGGUGGGGAUGACGUCAAAUCAGCACGGCCCUUACGUCCGGGGCUACACACGUGUUACAAUGGGGGGUACAGAAGGCAGCUACACGGCGACGUGGUGCUAAUCCCGAAAGCCUCUCUCAGUUCGGAUUGGAGUCUGCAACCCGACUCCAUGAAGCUGGAUUCGCUAGUAAUCGCGCAUCAGCCACGGCGCGGUGAAUACGUUCCC